CCAUCAGCCUCAGUCCUCCCGCGAGCCGCGGAGGGCGUCUUCUUUUAGCUCCGCGGCUGCCGGCCUCAAACGCGCGCGCUUCGCUCCUCGGCUCCCGGCUCACGCCCCGACCCUUCCUUGUCAACCCCGCGCUACUGCCAUGGCGUGGCUACGGCGGCCUGAGGCCGGCGUCGGGGCCCGCGGCGUGCUGGCGCUCCUGGCCCUAGCUCUGUACGUGCCCGCGGCCCGGGUCCGGGCGCUCUUUUUUUUCACCCGGUACGGGGACCCGCAGACGAACCUGACCGUGUGGAGUGUCGCGGAGAGCGGCCGCUUCAGCGACAGCUCGCCCAAGCGCAGCGCGGAGGGCCUGGUGGGCGUCCCGCGCGCGCCGGGCAGCAACCCCGAGGGCUGCGCCCCGGACACGCGCUUCCUCGUGCCCGGCAGCCGUGGGGGCGCGCCCUGGAUCGCCCUGGUGGCACGCGGGGGCUGCACCUUCAAGGACAAGGUGUUGGUGGCGGCGCGGAGAAACGCCUCGGCGGUGGUGGUCUACAACGAGGAGCAAUACGGGAACAUCACCACGCCCUUGUCCCACGGGGGAAUAGGAAAUAUAGUGGUCAUUAUGGUUAGCUACCCAAAAGGAAGAGAAAUUUUGGAUCUGGUGGUAAGAGGGAUUCCAGUCCAGAUGACCAUCGGGAUUGGCACCCACCACGUGCAGGAGUUCAUCAGUGGCCAGUCCGUGGUGUUCGUAGCCAUUGCCUUUAUCACCAUGAUGAUUAUAUCAUUAGCCUGGCUAAUAUUUUACUAUAUACAGCGUUUCCUGUAUACCGGCUCACAGUUUGGAAGUCAGAGCCAUAGAAAAGAAACUAAGAAAGCUAUUGGCCAGCUUCCACUUCAUACUGUAAAGCACGGAGAGAAGGGAAUUGAUGUCGAUGCUGAAAAUUGUGCAGUGUGUAUUGAAAAUUUUAAAGUAAAGGAUAUUAUCAGAAUUCUGCCAUGCAAGCAUAUUUUUCAUAGAAUAUGCAUUGACCCAUGGCUUUUGGAUCACCGAACGUGUCCAAUGUGUAAACUUGAUGUCAUCAAAGCCCUGGGAUAUUGGGGGGAGCCUGAAGAUGUGCAAGACAUGCCCGCUCCAGAACCUCCCCCUGGAAGUGUUUCGGUUGGAAAUCUUAGUGUGACACUGCAAGAUGAAGACAGAAGUGAUGGGCGCAACUCACCAUCGUCUUCAACUGAUGAGUCUGUGCCCCAGCGUGACGCCAGCCUUAAAGAAGAUGCAGGCGAAAACACAGCGUUGCUAGAAGCCGGCAGGAGCGACCCUCAGCGUGGAGGACCCGCCUCCUAGCACGCAUCCUAGUCCCACCGACUGACUGCAUCGCCGACAGCUCUGGCUUGAACUAAAGGACAUUUUAUUUUUUUAACUUUAGCACUAUAUAGUUUGUAUAUUUGAAAAUAAUGUACAUUAUUUUACCUACCAGAUUCUGAUUUGGUAUACAAAGGGCUAAGAUAUUUUAUGCUUAAAGAGAUUUUUUGAUCAGUCUUCAUAUAUUUAUCUACUAAAAUAGAAUGUUUAUGAUAAACUGUGUGUUGUUUCAGUUACAAGGACCAUGACUAGGGAAACCAUGCCGGUGUAAAGGACGAUGGUGCUGUGCACACCACACCAGCUCCUGCACGACUGCAAAAACAGGAUGAGUUCUGCUUUCAAGGUCAGGGAGCCUGCGCUGUGCAUUUUGUGAGGGGACUAAAUGCAGGCACCCUGCUCGCUCUCACUUGCUGGUGUUGGACAUCAAAGAAUAUAGACAGCGUCUGUUAACAGACCAUAAUGCCCAUGGUCUCUGCAGUUCACCUUCUGUGGUUCAGUGUGAACAGGAAAUAUGUCCUUGAUUCUAUUCCAAGUGGCAGCAUGAAAGAAGCUGAGUGUCCGUGACCAUGCUGCCUGACCCUGCCUUCCUGUCUGGCUUCUUCACUUCUCAGUGUGCAGACUGAUGGUCCAGGCUUCCCCGCGGAAAACCACCAAGGGCCAGAGAGGUGCAACAACGUGGCGCCAUUUGGCAGGUGAUUUGAAGAUAUAUCAAAGCUAGAAACUGGAUCUAGGAAUUCAAGUAAACACCAGUACUUGUGGAUGAUGAGAGUACGUGGUUCGGAAUUAACAUACUGAAACUUGUAACCCACAAACCAUCAAGUGCAGCACUUCUGCAGUCAUUUCCAGACAUCGCAGAAGUGAAGUCUGAGUUGCUGUAUGCACCUAUCCCCAACUGAGGUUACAGGUGGGGACAUUCUGCCUUGUUUCAGCUCUCACUGCAAACAAGUGUCUUUUUCACAGUGUGUUUAGUGCCAUGUUUUGUAUUUGCAUAUUUUUUUGUUGGCAAAGUGGUUUGAAAUGGCCCACAGGUGUCAUGAAGAGCCAUCUGCUGUUCUGAGCUCAACAAGGUUGUGCUGUGCCUUAGACAAAACGUGUGUCAGAUAAUUGUCAUUCAGCAUGAGUUGUUAUGCCAGCAAAUAGUGGGUCCCAGUCAUUUACCAUGGAGCAAACUUCUUUAACCAAUGCUAACAUGUCAAACAGUGAUGCCACUUUUAGGCACUGAGAAAUCAGUCUUGCUGCAAUCAUUUUAGCUGUCUGAAGACAGUCCCCCAUUCUCUAGGUGUUAAGCCAUUAUCUCCUCUAUAUGAAACAUGCUGAUUUUUGCAAACCCUUAGUUUAAUAAGAGCAGCUAAAGCACACAGUGUUACAAAUCUAGGAGUACUGCGUUACAAGGUUGGUACUUGUAUUCAUUUUUAAAUCACUAGGUUUGGUUUAACUUUUGCUAGGCAUUAGACUGGAGGGUAAUUCAUGUUGAACAAGACUAUUUCCUUAUAAACAUGCUUUGGAAGUGCCUCAGUAAAAGGAUUUUUCAUGAUUUCUUCAAGUAAAAGAUACAUCAGAUAAUGGAGUUGGUAAGAAAACUUUAAUAGGAGGCACUGUUGUCCAAAAUAACAUGGGAGGUGAGAGCCCACUCAGCCACCCUGCUCGCCUGCUUCUCAAAAGCACAUCUACCCUCCACAGAUGGGAAGUGGAGACCCCUCAGCAGGCACUGUACAGGCCAGUUCCCAGUGGUGACACAGCCUCCCAAAGCACUGACUGAUAAAAGCUGUCUCAGACCAAGAACAGAAGACCAUCUCAAGAAAAAAAAGAGGUGAUGAUCCCAGCCAUCACAGCCCCAAAAAAGGUUUCUAAGAGUUCUCAUGUUUAUAAGCGGCCCCAAAAUGUAUGUAUUCUGUUGUCUGUGAAGUCCCCACCCCAAGGAUAAAGUUGCUUUACAA